CCGAUGGAGGGGGAUAACUACUGGAAACGGUAGCUAAUACCGCAUAACGCCGCAAGACCAAAGAGGGGGACCUUCGGGCCUCUUGCCAUCGGAUGUGCCCAGAUGGGAUUAGCUAGUAGGUGGGGUAACGGCUCACCUAGGCGACGAUCCCUAGCUGGUCUGAGAGGAUGACCAGCCACACUGGAACUGAGACACGGUCCAG
rnacentral:rRNA from 1 species